rnacentral:rRNA from 1 species
UGACGAAAGCUGACGCUUGACGCCGCGUGGGGGAUGAAGGUCUUCGGAUUGUAAACCCCUUUCGGGAGGGAAGAUGGAGUGGGUAACCACUUGGACGGUACCUCCAGAAGCAGCCACGGCUAACUUCGUGCCAGCAGCCGCGGUAAUACGAAGGUGGCAAGCGUUGUUCGGAUUCACUGGGCGUACAGGGAGCGUAGGCGGUUGGGUAAGCCCUCCGUGAAAUCUCCGGGCCUAACCCGGAAAGUGCAGAGGGGACUGCUCAGCUAGAGGAUGGGAGAGGAGCGCGGAAUUCCCGGUGUAGCGGUGAACUGCGUAGAGAUCGGGAGGAAGGCCGGUGGCGAAGGCCGGAGCUCUGGAACAUUACUGUACGCUGAGGCUCGAACAGCGUGGGGAGCAAACAGGAUUAGAUACCCUUGGUAAUCCAAGCCAUUAAAACUAUGGAUACUAAGGU